GCAUCGGUGGUUUAGUGGUAAAAUUAGCCGUUGCCAUCUCGGCUAGCCCCGGGUUCGAUUCCCGGCCGAUGCA